rnacentral:lncRNA from 1 species
CAUCAGCACCGAGCCUCCAGAAAGCAGACGUGAAGCGCCGAGGGUGGAGAUUGAGGCACACCAUGACAGGCACGUAGGAAUGGUGAGCGGGGAGAACCAGCAUUAAGGGCACAGACCACAAAAACAGCUACAGUCUGAUCCGACUGGAAAAUCCCAACAUUCUGUAAGUGGAGCGGAGGCCCGGAGGAGGAGCCGGCAGCGAAGACGGCGACGACCGUGUUCGAGUGCGGGGAAGAGCAGUUCAAAUCAGUUUCCCCACCUCUGGCUGUGUGUGGAGCUGGAGGCCUCCUCACUGGACGAGUCGGGUGUGAUGAUCAGGGGUCCGUUGGGGACGGGCAGCCCGCCGUUCAUCUGCGAGUACACGCUGGCGGUGGUGGGCGGAGGUUUGGUGUCGUCCCGCGCUGAUCUCCGGCUCGAUGACUCCAGAAAGCUGCAGAAGUCCCAGCUGUCAGAGAGCGAGUCCUGGCCCAGAAAGUCCAAUCUGAAGGCCUCGCACAGGCCGCGCUCGCUGCUGGACGUGCUGCUCGCUGUCGCCACCGUCCAAUCGUCCGCAUCCAGAUCCAGCUCCAGGUCUGAUGUGAGUUUGUCGAUCUGACCCACCACCUGGAGGACGCAGAAGGAGAGAAUGAUGGUGAAUAAUGGGCUUCACAUAUUCGUCACAUUGAUGGUGAGUCGACCUGUUCAAAAAAACUGAGACGAUUCAAGGAUCUUCAUUUAUUUUAUUAAUGAAUAAGGCAAGCUUAUAUGAAGUUUUAAACAUGUCCAACAAGUUUCAGGUGAAAACCAAGUAAUCUGAGGGAGUUUUAAAAAGUUUCAGACCCUGAAACAGGCCAAAAGCAGCAAAAAACAAAGUGAUGAACACUGCUUAAAACAAAGAUCAUCAGUCUUUCUGUUUUAAUAUCUAGGCAAGUCAUUAAACAACAGGGAUUUGUUCUGUAGACAAUCAAUCAAUCAAUCAAUAAAUAAACCAAUAUGUGUUAA